UAUUAAUCAUACAAUGUCUUUCUUCCAGGAGCAUUCCUGUUCUGCCCACCAGAGGUCUUCUCCAAACCCAAAUACUACGCCGUCCCAACAAACGUCUGGACUCUAGGUGUGACGCUGUACAUGAUGGUCAACAUAAAGCUGCCUUUUUCAAGUGUCAAGCAAAUAUUGAAAGCCUGUCCUUUCCCUUGGAAAGCUGAGCUAUCCAGCGCAUGCAGUGAUCUGAUCCACCAGUGUCUGGAGCGCAGUCCAGCGAAGCGGCCCACGUUAGAGCAGAUCUUACAGCACCAAUGGUUUGAAAGUCAGCUCUAGGAUGAAGACAGGCGUUGGAUCCUUCUGUCCUCUGGGUCAGACGAAGAGAAGAUCUGCAAUUGUUCUCAUUAGAGAUGAUGAAACAGAGACUGGAUGAAGACAGGGUCAAGAAUACAGUUCCUCAGAGGACACACAACAUCCAGUCGGCUGAAGAACCCAGGACUAGACAGAAAACACAAAGCAGAGACGGAAACAAUGUCUCAUUCUCUGGAGACCAUGAGCCAUAGACCUUUCACAUGAAUUGGUUAUGAUUUCUGAUUUCACAUGAAUGCAGUGCUUCCCGGUGUUUUUGAUGAUACUCUUAACCAGCGCUGCAGCUCUAAUGAUCGGUUCAGCUUUAUAAUAUAUAAUGCAUAAUAAUUCAUUAUUAUAGGUUUAUUAUUAAAAAUUUUAAAUUAAAUUUGUUAAAGUUAUUUCUUUUGGAAGAAAUAAAAGUAGGUUCUUUUUAAACUUGUGACAAGUUGUUAAAUACACAGUAUUUAAAACAAUGCUUCUAAAUCCUGAAAAAAAAACAAAAAAACAAAAACCUGACUUUCAAAGUAAUAUGCCCAACAAGGAAUUUUGUCAAUUUAUUUAUUGGUUAAAAACACUUAUCAGUCCCUCCAGAAAAACGUGAUAAUGCGAUC